GGGUAUAGCUCAAGUGGUAGAGUGCCUGCUUAGCAUGCACAAGGUCCUGGGUUCAAUCCCCAGUACCUCCA
rnacentral:tRNA from 1 species